GACGAACCGUGCGAACGUUGUUCGGAAUUACUGGGCGUAAAGGGCGCGUAGGCGGCCUUCUAAGUCGAACGUGAAAUCCCCGGGCUCAACCCGGGAACUGCGUCCGAUACUGGAAGGCUUGAAUCCGGGAGAGGGAUGCGGAAUUCCAGGUGUAGCGGUGAAAUGCGUAGAUAUCUGGAGGAACACCGGUGGCGAAGGCGGCAUCCUGGACCGGCAUUGACGCUGAGGCGCGAAAGCCAGGGGAGCAAACGGG
rnacentral:rRNA from 1 species